CGUGCCACGAGGUGGUCGACUGACGGCUGACUGAUCGAUAGAUAAGGUCUUAUUAUGGUUUUAUCAUAAAUAU
ensembl:ncRNA C45E1.6 ncRNA